CCCGCCAAAGAAUCCCAAAACUCUGAAUAUUUGUGUCGUCUGAGUACUAUAUAAUAGUUAAAACUUUCAACAACGGAUCUCUUGGUUCUGGCAUCGAUGAAGAACGCAGCGAAAUGCGAUAAGUAAUGUGAAUUGCAGAAUUCAGUGAAUCAUCGAAUCUUUGAACGCACAUUGCGCCCCUUGGUAUUCCGAGGGGCAUGCCCGUUCGAGCGUCAUUAUAACCCCUCAAGCCUAGCUUGGUGUUGGGGCCUGCUGUUACCGGCAGCCCUUAAAAUCAGUGGCGGUGCCAUCUGGCUCUAAGCGUAGUAAUACUUCUCGCUACAGGGUCCUGGUGGAUACUUGCCAUCAACCCCUAAAUUUCUAUGGUUGACCUCGGAUCGGGUAGGGAUACCCGCUGAACUUAAGCAUAUCAAUAAGCGGAGGAAAAGAAACCAACAGGGAUUGCCUUAGUAACGGCGAGUGAAGCGGCAACAGCUCAAAUUUGAAAUCUGGCUCUUUCAGAGUCCGAGUUGUAAUUUGUAGAAGAUGCUU
rnacentral:rRNA from 1 species